AGCGGAAUGUUUUAUGCGGCCUGCUGACACCUACAGCAGACAUGCCUAUAGUCCCGCAUUAUGCGGAAACGGCCCGCAAAAUCAUCAAAAAAGCUCACAUGUUCCGCCGUUCCGCAUUCACGAUUUUUUGUUCCGCCAAGUCUGAAUUCCGACACUAAAAAAAAAUUGCCAUUUUAUCAUUAUUUAUUAAUAGUGCGAAUUGAAAAUACUGAGUGCAAAAUAAAAUAUAUAUAGGUCUGUGUUUAUUGUUUACAUUUCAUCUACUUCCGGACCCGGUGUGUCCUAAAUUUACGAAGAAAUGGUUGAAGACUAGAUCUAGAUCUAGUUCUAGACAUAGAUCUCUAGAUCUACUGAUCUAGUAGUCUAGGUCUAGAUAUUAGAAUUAGAUCUAUUCUUAGAAUCUACCUCCGAGAAUGAAAUCAGCUCAGCCUUGAGUUGGACGACAUGCUUUAACACUUUUCCCCUGGAGAGCCAACAAACGUUGGUGUGAUACAGGAGACAUUAGUAGUCUGAAUCCAUUGCUUCACAAAGCUCUGAGGAAAGUCAGAAUGCAAGCGGUCGAGAUUUGAGGAAGUUUACAACUUCAAUCACUUGAUCCAGAACAGACAUCAAAUAUUUGAAGGCAAGAGCUUCUCUGUGGAUCAUGCAGUGAACAACUAAUACAUUUGGAUUUUCUUGACGCACAUGAGUGAAGAAUCCCUUUCUAUUUCCCUGCAUGGAAGGACAGCCAUCGGUGCAAACGCUGACACAGUUUGUCUCCACUGUACUUUGAAUAGCAAAAUGUUUUCGUUCACCACUUAAAAAUCUUCGCCUUUGGUCGUAGUUGGUGGCGAUUUUAUUGUUUACCAUGGAGUUGUCUACUUUUCAAAUUUUACUGACCAAGUUUUUUACAGUGACUGAUCCAUCAGCAGUUUCCGAAGCAGUAACUGAUAUCUCAAAAAAAUAUCGCUUUUCUGAUGGUGUCUAGUCACCUCAGAGGAUCAACAGGAUUUGUUCAUUGAAAGACACUUGAAGGUGUAGGCAGUUAAAGCAAAAGGACUUCUUGCAAUGUUUGUUUCAAGGACCAGACACAACAGAAUUUGACAACAUAUGUAUUGGAAGCUCAAAAUCAGAAACUGAAAUCUGCCCAUGUGGAGUGUCACCAGAGAAUGUUGACCAUCUUCUCCAAAACUGCUCUCUUUACCAAGAGGCUGUACAUGACACUGGCCCCAAAACACCCCAAUAGAAAGAAAACUAUAUGGAGAGUUCCCUGAUUUGGAAACGCUGUGAAAAUAAUCUCAUAUACUGGUCCAGUCAUCUGAAUGCUCCAAUAAAAAAAUGAGAAGGAAGAAGAAAGAAGAUUGGGAGCAACAUGGCUAUUGAAAAGCAGAGACCAUACAAACCUCAUUAGAUGAAGAGUUUUAUUUUGUUGGUAAAGUCCUUGGUUUUGAGCCAGCAGAGAAACAUAGAAAGCUCUGUUUUGACAAUAUAUAAAGAGUGACUUUAGCUCAACUCCUCACCAAGCUUUACAGUCUGUGACAUUUUUUUGGUAAAACUUUGAAUCAGAUUUAUGUGUGUAUACUUCAUUAUGUUAACUACAUUGAUCAAGAAUACUCAAUUCAUAAAAAGAAGCUGCUUUAAAGGAUUAAAGAUAACUUUGACCCUUUUGAGAAAACAAAUUUAAACACAAGAUUUUGAAUUAAUUUUGUAAUUCUUUUAUAUUUUUUUUUCUUCUGAAAGCCACAUAACGACACAAGUAUUUAUUCAAGGUUUUGAAUGUAUGGUAUACUGUUAGGUUUAGUAUUGACUCAUUCAGUAAAUUGUUUUUGUUUUGUGGUUUUUAUAAAUUAAUAAAUGGAAGUUUAUAUAAUGUGUUAUGUUUAAAUGUAUGAUUUUUUUUUACUGAUCUAAAGAAAGAAACUUGAGGAUUUUAAUUUUUAUUCUUUUUGAAACAUGUAAGGAAUAUUAGAACAUUGGUUGGCAACAUUAUUAGUGUCAAAAUGUAUUUCACUUGGUAGCCAAGAAUGCUUCUAACUGAGAUGACAUCACUACCUGUGGUUAACAAGGGUGCCAUGUUGUCAGCACAAUGACCAACCCCCUUUACUUUUUCCUAACUCAUAUAAUAAUAAUAAUAAUAAUAAUCUUUAUUAUCCUUAAGGAAAUUUGUCUUACAAUUUGUGCAUUACACCAAACAAAAAACAUUAUAACUAUAAGAAACCAAAAUGUACAUUCACACCAGACUCACUCAUAAUUUACAUGUGACAAAGUUUAUGCCAGAUUGUUCUUAUUUAAUGAUUUGAUUGCCAGGGGAACAAAAGAGUGUUUGUGUCUGUUUGUCUUUGCUAUCGGUGUCUUGUAUCUCUUUUGUGAUGGUAAAAUCACAAAAUCCUGACACAAAGGGUGAUUCUUUAUUUCGAGGAUCUUGUUAGCUUUUUUAUAGAUGUUUGUCUCAAACAACUGCCCAAAUGGGGUUUGUUUUUUGCCAAUGAUUUUGCCAGCAGCAUUUAGGAUUCUAUGAAGUUACCCAUUAGAGCUGGGUGGACUUGAAGGCACCAUAAAGAUCCCAAAAUUAAAAUACCCAUCUUCACUAGGAUUUGAACCCAGGGUCCUUCUGUUUGGAAGUCAAGUGCUUUACCACUCAGCCACAUGCCUCCGUUAAAGGCUAGAUUUUGUGACAAUUAUUUUUAGGAGAGAGAAUGAUGUAUGCACAAAGUUGUAGUUUUUUUUAUUUUUAUUAAAUUUAUUUGUAUUUAACCACUGACUUAUUAGUCUCUGAAUUGUCAAAUUUAAGUUUGUAAUCAGUUAGUGUUGACCUUGGCUUGAUAGGCUAAAAGGAUUAACAAUAAUAAUAAUAAUAAUUAUAGCUUGUAUGUAGUGCUACUUUCAUGCUUACAGCAUGCUCAGAGUGCUGUGUUCCAAUCUUAUGUGUGAACCAGUAGGGGGGGGGGAUUUGGGAGAGGGUUUUCCGUGCUGCCUUCGGGUACUCAGUAAACAGAACUCUGCUUGAGUCGUGUGUUGAACCUAGAGUCACCUUGAUAGGUAGCCGAGCCAAGCCAAGUUCAAGCAUACUUAGCCUCUUGACCACGCCUCCACAUUGAAAUUAAAUUGUAAAUGUUAAAUAUUUUAAAAAAUUUAAUACAGAAUUUGAUAUUUAUGAAAUAUUUAAUACAGAAUUUGAUAUUGAUGAAAAAUUUAAUACAGAAUUUGAUAUUGAUGAAAAAUUUAAAAAACAGAAUUUGAUAUUGAUUACAAAAAAUAAUACAGAAUUUGAUAUUGAUACCUGAUACCAUUUCAUUUGUGUGUGUGUGUGUGUGUUUCCAAUAAUAAAAAAAUAACAAAAAAUAAUACAGAAUUUGAUAUUGAUACCAUUUCAUUUGUGUGUGUGUGUGUUUCCAAUAAUAUUUCUAUGAAUGUACAAUUUAUUCUCUAGAUAAAGAUUCAUUUUCUGUUUUGUAAGGCAGCUCUCAAUCCUCAGUGUUAUGAACAUAAUGAUAACUGAGUCGAAAACCAUGUCGUCUUAGUAUGGCUUUAAUACACUGAAUGACUACACAACACACAUUUUGUGAACACAUUCUUACGGACGAGUUACAAUCACAUGUAAACAUAAGAACCAAAACCAAUACAGCAUAUAAUUUUCAUAAGUGAAAUUCUAAAUUUACUGAACUAAACAGACU